GGGGUUGUGGCUCAGAGGUAGAGUGCUCACCUAGCAUAUGUGAGGCACUGAGUUCGAUUCUCAACACCACA
rnacentral:tRNA from 1 species